GGAGGUUCUUGGGUGAUGCACCCCAGAAUUGGGCUCCCUUCUCUCUGGUUUCAGGUACGUCACCCAAGAACCACA
rfam:Myotis brandtii contig209671, whole genome shotgun sequence.